rnacentral:lncRNA from 1 species
GCUUAGCGGCAUCUCCUUCAAUUGGCUCAUGCAAAUCCUUGCAAUAGAGAAUGUCCUCCAUCCUUGGCUUCCAUGUUACCCAAUUGGAGUUGGUGAGUUUGAUCAUAGUGCCACUUCCUUCCAUCUCGUAGUACGAGCCAACCGGGCUCUGAUACCACUUGUUAGGAAUGUCGGUACUACAAGAUAGAGAAUGCACAAGGUAAAGUAGAAAAUGGACACCAAGAAUUUAUGUGGUUCGGCAAUUUAUGCCUACGUCCACCAAACAAGGAAUCUUCACUAUAUGAAAAAAAGAUGAAUACAACAAGAGUAGUCUUACCAAGCCAAAGACAAGGCUUGAUGGAUACAAGAAAGUAUAACACACACUUUCUAUCACUCUAAACUUCACUCACACAAUGUGUAGUGGAACACUCUCA